UGGGGAAUAUUGCGCAAUGGGCGAAAGCCUGACGCAGCGACGCCGCGUGAGGGAUGAAGGCCUUCGGGUUGUAAACCUCUUUCAGCAGGGAAGAAGCGAAAGUGACGGUACCUGCAGAAGAAGCACCGGCUAACUACGUGCCAGCAGCCGCGGUAAUACGUAGGGUGCAAGCGUUGUCCGGAAUUAUUGGGCGUAAAGAGCUCGUAGGCGGUCUGUCGCGUCUGGUGUGAAAAUCCAGGGCUUAACCCUGGACCUGCAUCGGGUACGGGCAGACUAGAGUGCGGUAGGGGAGAUCGGAAUUCCUGGUGUAGCGGUGAAAUGCGCAGAUAUCAGGAGGAACACCGGUGGCGAAGGCGGAUCUCUGGGCCGUAACUGACGCUGAGGAGCGAAAGCAUGGGGAGCGAACA
rnacentral:rRNA from 1 species